UAAAAUGGCGGUUCGUAUACGAUCACCGAAGUUAAGCAACGUUGAACCUGGUCAGUACCUAGGUGGGUGAUUGCUUGGAAAUUCCAGGUGCUGUAAA